UACGUAGGGCGCAAGCGUUGUCCGGAAUUAUUGGGCGUAAAGAGCGUGUAGGCGGCCAGGUAGGUCAGCUGUGAAAACUCGAGGCUCAACCUCGAGACGCCGGUUGAAACCAUCUGGCUAGAGUCCGGAAGAGGAGAGUGGAAUUCCUGGUGUAGCGGUGAAAUGCGCAGAUAUCAGGAAGAACACCCGUGGCUAAGGCGGCUCUCUAGUACGGUACUGACGCUGAGACGCGAAAGCGUGGGGAGCGAACAGG
rnacentral:rRNA from 1 species